CGCAUAUGAUAUUUAGUUCCCGC
rnacentral:siRNA from 1 species